rnacentral:rRNA from 1 species
UAGGGAAUCUUCCACAAUGGACGCAAGUCUGAUGGAGCAACGCCGCGUGAGUGAAGAAGGUUUUCGGACCGUAAAGCUCUGUUGUUGGUGAAGAAGGAUAGAGGUAGUAACUGGCCUUUAUUUGACGGUAAUCAACCAGAAAGUCACGGCUAACUACGUGCCAGCAGCCGCGGUAAUACGUAGGUGGCAAGCGUUGUCCGGAUUUAUUGGGCGUAAAGCGAGCGCAGGCGGAAGAAUAAGUCUGAUGUGAAAGCCCUCGGCUUAACCGAGGAAUUGCAUCGGAAACUGUUUUUCUUGAGUGCAGAAGAGGAGAGUAGAACUCCAUGUGUAGCGGUGGAAUGCGUAGAUAUAUGGAAGAAUACCAGUGGCGAAGGCGGCUCUCUGGUCUGCAACUGACGCUGAGGCUCGAAAGCAUGGGUAGCGAACAGGAUUAGGUACCCUGGUAGUCCAUGCCGUAAACGAUGAGUGCUAAGUGUUGGGAGGCUUCCGCCCC